rnacentral:lncRNA from 1 species
GCAUCUCUCAUCUACAAUAGAUAUUACAUCAAGCACGACUCAUAAUCCUGUACAAACACAGAGAAUGCAUGUGCCAAACAAGUUGGCUGGAACAUUUGUAUCCAAUAACCAAGUACACAAGUUGGCGAGAAAUAGAAGAGAGUCAAAAGUUUUAUUUAUCAAAAACAGAGAAAUGUUUCUGGACAAUUGAGUUAAGUAAUUUACA